ACUGGAAAGUGUUAGAAAUUUUCUAUCAGAGCAAAUGUAUCAAGUGUGUGGAGAACCACUGCAGGGUUUCAGGCAUGGCUUUGGCUUGAACGGGCUCUGUCAUUUUGUCCCUGAGCUGUAGUUCCGGAGGCAGCCUGCACCAUCUGGUAGAGCGCAGGGAGGGCUGUACCCGAUCUGGGCCUGCGUCCAGCUGUGGCACGCGCUAGGGGGCAGUGAAGGCUCAGAGUAUCUUCAGAUCAGACAUGUGUAUUUCAGUUUAGGAAUAUGGUGGAGAGUGAGCCCCUGUCCUGUUCCUUCUUCCGCGAAAUGAGUAACUGUGCAUACAGUUGAUUUUUGAAAAGAACUGUCCCUAACGGGUCUCUUCAGCCACACACAUUCAGAGAAGCCGCAGGACCACACUGAUGUCAUUUUCAAGUGCAAAGGCUAAUGCUCUUCUCCCCCAGUACUCCUCUCGCUCAUUUCUGUACCCAUUUGAGGAAGGUGCGUCAUUUAGUGAAUGCUUAUUUUAAUUCCUCCUCCUUUCCCAGAGGGUUACUGCCUGUGAUGCUCAGGCUUUGGAGUUUGUGCUUUAAACGGGCACCAGAAUGGGAGGGGAGUUGGGGAGUUGGCCCUGGGCGUCAGUUAACCACUUGAAAUUGACUGUUGGUUGAGAUA
rnacentral:lncRNA from 1 species